GAGAUGAUCUCUGAUUGGUUUAUUGCAUGUUACGCCCAAAACACACCUCUGAAUUAAUGAAGACACUAAAUACAACCCUUUUGACCCGUGAGCCCGGCGCACAGACACUUUUUUCCGCAGUUAAACUAGCAAAAGUGGUUUUGGACACGCCCUAAACACACCUGUGCCAGGCGCUUCACGCCGUGCGCUUAGAUCGUUAAAAUAGAGCCCUCUAUGUUGCCCAGGUCAGUGAAAAUUGAGGUGAAUAUACAUCUGCACAAGAAAAUGUUUCCUGACAGAAUAAGCGAGCAUUUUGGUGCUUUGUUUUGUUUCUAUAAGUUGUCUAUCAUCAGACAAAACUGUAAAUGUGUAAUGUGUAAUUUUGUCAGCAGAAAUCUACUUAAGUCUGUAACAGAGGAGUUAUCUAACUAUGACAGACGUAGCCAGACCCUUUUAUCUGAAUGUUUGCUGACAUGUUUCCACCUCUGACCCACUUAACCUCUGCUCACUUUUUAUCCUCUUCACAGGGUUAAAAGUCUAAGGUCUCGAGUAAAAGGUUCACGUUGUCUGACUGGAAAUGCUGGGAUCAACUCUUUGUCUGAGCACGAGGAGCCCCAGCAGAGCCAGGAGUCUGCAGGGCAGCAUCCUUCCUCUGACCACAGAAACCUAGAGGGAAAUGGAUUGAGGUGAAGACGGAGAGAAGGAGCUCUGAAUGCAGAGUGAAGGAGGGACUGACUGAACGAGGGAGGGAUUGUUGUGAGAGACACUCGGGUCCUGUAACUUAUGGAAAGCCAAGGCUGAUGGGAGGUGAACAUGUCGAGGAGCUCUGUGGGGAGGGAGAAGACCAGGAUGGACGCCUCUCUGGACGGAGACAA